rnacentral:rRNA from 1 species
CACUCCUACGGGAGGCAGCAGUGGGGAAUAUUGGACAAUGGGCGCAAGCCUGAUCCAGCCAUGCCGCGUGAGUGAUGAAGGCCCUAGGGUUGUAAAGCUCUUUCACCGGUGAAGAUAAUGACGGUAACCGGAGAAGAAGCCCCGGCUAACUUCGUGCCAGCAGCCGCGGUAAUACCAAGGGGGCUAGCGUUGUUCGGAUUUACUGGGCGUAAAGCGCACGUAGGCGGACUAUUAAGUCAGGGGUGAAAUCCCGGGGCUCAACCCCGGAACUGCCUUUGAUACUGGUAGUCUUGAGUUCGAGAGAGGUGAGUGGAAUUCCGAGUGUAGAGGUGAAAUUCGUAGAUAUUCGGAGGAACACCAGUGGCGAAGGCGGCUCACUGGCUCGAUACUGACGCUGAGGUGCGAAAGCGUGGGGAGCAAACAGGAUUAGAUACCCGGGUAGUCCCAUGA